rnacentral:rRNA from 1 species
UACGGGGGGGGCAAGCGUUGUUCGGAAUUACUGGGCGUAAAGGGCUCGUAGGCGGCCAACUAAGUCAGACGUGAAAUCCCUCGGCUUAACCGGGGAACUGCGUCUGAUACUGGAUGGCUAGAGGUUGGGAGAGGGAUGCGGAAUUCCAGGUGUAGCGGUGAAAUGCGUAGAUAUCUGGAGGAACACCAGUGGCGCAAGCGGCGGCCUGGGUAUGACCUGACACUGAGCCACGACGGCGUGGGGAGCAAACGGG